rnacentral:rRNA from 1 species
CCUACGGGUGGCAGCAGUGGGGAAUUUUCCGCAAUGGGCGAAAGCCUGACGGAGUGACGCCGCGUGGGGGACGAAGGCCUUCGGGUCGUAAACCCCUGUCAGAGGGAAAGCGGUACCUUCAGAGGAAGCCCCGGCCAACUCUGUGCCAGCAGCCGCGGUAAGACAGAGGGGGCAAGCGUUGCUCGGAAUCACUGGGCGUAAAGGGCGCGUAGGCGGGAUGGCAAGUCGGUCGUGAAAUCCUUCGGCUCAACCGAAGAACGUCGGCCGAUACUGCCGUUCUUGAGGGAUGCAGAGGAGAUUGGAAUUCCCGGUGUAGCGGUGAAAUGUGUAGAGAUCGGGAGGAACACCGGUGGCGAAGGCGGGUCUCUGGGCUCCCUGACGCUGAGGCGCGAAAGCGUGGGGAGCAAACGGGAUUAGAUACCCUUGUAGUC